rnacentral:rRNA from 1 species
GAUGAACGCUGGCGGCGUGCCUAAUACAUGCAAGUCGAGCGAACGGACGAGAAGCUUGCUUCUCUGAUGUUAGCGGCGGACGGGUGAGUAACACGUGGAUAACCUACCUAUAAGACUGGGAUAACUUCGGGAAACCGGAGCUAAUACCGGAUAAUAUUUUGAACCGCAUGGUUCAAAAGUGAAAGACGGUCUUGCUGUCACUUAUAGAUGGAUCCGCGCUGCAUUAGCUAGUUGGUAAGGUAACGGCUUACCAAGGCAACGAUGCAUAGCCGACCUGAGAGGGUGAUCGGCCACACUGGAACUGAGACACGGUCCAGUCUCCUACGGGAGGCAGCAGUAGGGAAUCUUCCGCAAUGGGCGAAAGCCUGACGGAGCAACGCCGCGUGAGUGAUGAAGGUCUUCGGAUCGUAAAACUCUGUUAUUAGGGAAGAACAUAUGCGUAAGUAACUGUGCACAUCUUGACGGUACCUAAUCAGAAAGCCACGGCUAACUACGUG